GAUGAAGAACGUAGCGAAAUGCGAUAAGUAAUGUGAAUUGCAGAAUUCAGUGAAUCAUCGAAUCUUUGAACGCACAUUGCGCCCGCCAGCAUUCUGGCGGGCAUGCCUGUUCGAGCGUCAUUUCAACCCUCGAGCCCCCCGGGGGCCUCGGUGUUGGGGGACGGCACACCAGCCGCCCCCGAAAUGCAGUGGCGACCUCGCCGCAGCCUCCCCUGCGUAGUAGCACACACCUCGCACCGGAGCGCGGAGACGGUCACGCCGUAAAACGCCCAACUUCUUAGAGUUGACCUCGGAUCAGGUAGGAAUACCCGCUGAACUUAAGCAUAUCAAUAAGCGGAGGA
rnacentral:misc_RNA from 1 species